GACGAACGCUGGCGGCGUGCCUAAUACAUGCAAGUUGAGCGCUGAAGGUUGGUACUUGUACCAACUGGAUGAGCAGCGAACGGGUGAGUAACGCGUGGGGAAUCUGCCUUUGAGCGGGGGGCAACAUUUGGAAACGAAUGCUAAUACCGCAUAAAAACUUUAAACACAAGUUUUAAGUUUGAAAGAUGCAAUUGCAUCACUCAAAGAUGAUCCCGCGUUGUAUUAGCUAGUUGGUGAGGUAAAGGCUCACCAAGGCGAUGAUACAUAGCCGACCUGAGAGGGUGAUCGGCCACAUUGGGACUGAGACACGGCCCAAACUCCUACGGGAGGCAGCAGUAGGGAAUCUUCGGCCAUGGACGAAAGUCUGACCGAGCAACGCCGCGUGAGUGAAGAAGGUUUUCGGAUCGUAAAACUCUGUUGGUAGAGAAGAACGUUGGUGAGAGUGGAAAGCUCAUCAAGUGACGGUAACUACCCAGAAAGGGACGGCUAACUACGUG
rnacentral:rRNA from 1 species